UUCUGAGGAGGCCAGGGCCUUCUUUACCUCCAGAUAUUCCUGCAGGGUGAUGGGACCAUCUGACAGGUCGGACGAGUCCAUGCUCUGGGUGGUGGAUAACCGAAGAAGGGGUAGGAGGAGACAGAAAGAGACUGAUGGCUGCUCUGUGGCAAAUGUAUCACUGCAGAUCAUUAGUCUGGACAUUUGGACGAGCCUCCUGGUGGUGGGAUGUUGUUGUUCCCAGUUUCACGGACUUGCAGCGGUUGCAGAACUUCUGGAUGUCUAAACAAACAUUUAGCUUUCUGUCCAAGAAACUGCAUUAAGCUCUGGAGAGACAAGAUACAGCUUUCAGUAUUGUACAUCUUUUUGAAGUCAGCAUCACAACCGUGUGCAAGUUUGCAGGAGUUUUGCGCUGCUGCAGAUAUAAAAACAUUCUUGUUGCCUUCCCAGCCCUGAAUCAAUGUAUCUCACUAUGAAUUUUGACAAUAAACCUUUGUGUCUUUUCAA